GGUUACCGACGUGCGGCCCAGAGCGACCCGUGUUCUCCUGUCGCUCGGCCCAGAACGGCCCGUUUAGGCGGGGGAGAAACCGGCCCGCACGAAUCUCGUUGUGCUGUGCUAGUUUCGCCCGACACUUCUCCCCUCGCGAUGGCGGCGUCUCCGGCGAGCGGCGGCCGCGGCAGGGCGCGCUCGUGCGAGACGGCGGAGCAGACCCGCGAGUGGAUGGAGGCCAUCGCCUCCUUCCUCGGGCGCCACCGCCCGCUCCUCGAGGCCCACGUCGUCAACUUCUUCAAGGAUAGGCUGUGGGAGAUGGUGGAUGCCGACUGGAUGGAGUGCCUCCGCCGGGAGCCCGUCGAGAGCCUGCUCAUGUUGCCUUCCGGCUGCGUCCAGGACCAUUGGCCAAGUUCACUACAGGAAUUUAUACUCACUGCGAGGUCGCUUGUUCUUCCACGUGAGCAAAAAUCGCCACAAUCCUUUUUACCUAAUUCGCGCGUCGCAUCAAUUGGUACUGUUCUUGCUCAAGGCAUGAACUCUAAGAAGAAGCACGAAAUUGAAGCCCUAUCUGGGAUCGUUGAUGCAAUUGCUAGGAGUCGUGGAGCCAAGACAGUGGUUGAUGUAGGUUCUGGUCAGGGUUAUCUUGCACAAGCUUUAUCCUUUGAGUACCAACUCGCCGUUAUAGCAAUAGAUGCUUCAUCACAUCAUGCUUCUGUUACAAAUACUCGUGCAGAGAGGAUAAAGAAGCACUAUGCUGCUAAAUGUGUAGAGAAGCAACAGUUCAAAGUGCCAAGAACUGUCACUUGUCAUGUUCUUUCUAGUGACACAUUGGCAGCUGUGACGUUGGAUGCAUGUCAAGAUGACCAUGGUGAACAUAUAACAGAAACUAACAACUGUAAUCAGAGUAUUCCUCAGAUUGAGCAACCAAAUCAUAGCAUUCCUCAAUUAGUCCUUGCUGGUCUUCAUGCCUGUGGUGAUCUUUCAGUUAACAUGCUAAGGGUUUUCGUGUCCUGUGAACAAGUACAAGCAUUGGUAAGUGUCGGAUGCUGUUACAACUUGUUGUCCGAGGAUACAGACACCUGCCCUGGUUUUCCUAUUAGCAAGGCUGCUAAAUCAUCUAAGCUGGUGCUUGGCAAAAGCAUCCGUGACCUAGCUUGCCAGAGCGCAGAAAGAUGGAGAAACCUCACCAAGGAAAUGGCCCUACAAAAUUUUGAUAUACAUGCCUUCCGAGCAGCUUUUCAAAUGGUACUUGAGAAAUAUUUCCCUGAAGUGUCAAGAUUGAGUCCAUCAAUUGGAAGGCAAGGAAAAGCACUGCGCCGUCAAAGGCUUCGAAAAGUUAUGGAAUCCCAUUUGGCUAUGGGGAAAGCUGAUGAUUUAUCCUAUCCUAAUUGCAAGGAACAAAACAUGAAUACAGAUGGUUCAUUGCCCACAGAACCAACUGCUCCUAAAGGGGCUGUCGAGUGUUGCAGCAACGAACUUUGUACAGGUGAUACUUACUCAACUUCAGCAGUUGUUGGUUCAUCCAUAUCAAGAGUUAACGUGGGACCAAGUGACACCAAUCUUGAUGAAUGUUGCAAGUUGACUCUUUUCAAAGAUUUCACAAUCUCUGGAUUAGGGCGUCUUGGCUGUGGUUUUGUGGAAGAUGUUAAUCUACUCGAAAUAUGGAAGGAUGUGCAACACUUCACCGAGUUCAUAGGUCCCUUUUGGUGCCUCCGGGCUGCUUUAGGUCCACUGGUGGAAACAUAUAUUUUACUUGAUCGGUUACUGUUUCUUCAAGAGCAAGGAAGUGCAGUUGAAGCAUCAUUGUUUCCUCUGUUUGAUCCCGCCAUGUCUCCAAGGAAUAUGGCACUAGUUGCUUGGAAGUUAACGGGUGAUCCUUUAGAACCAAGUCAUGAUAUGGGAAUGUACAAGAGAUUGCCCUCGAGCAGCGUGCCUUUAUCCAAUAAAUGCUAGGAUUUGUUCGCCCAUGGGCGUGAGAGCGACGCCGCCCUGUACUUCCGGCGAUGCAUCCGCGUCGACGUGGCCACCCAGAGCCGUCGCGACUCUUCCGUCCGCAGAUCCUUAUCCUGUUUUGUACACCCGGAGGUUCCCUGCAAGGCCGCCGGUCAAUUUGCUCCGCUUUUCACUGAUGCAGCCACCGUCUGAAAGUGCAGCUGCGUGCGCGCGAUGUUAGGCCGGCCGUGCGGAGCGGAGGAGAUGAGAUGAGGUAUGUGGUGAGGUUGCUGCUGUUGCUGUCACUGCCCAUUUCCAAGGUCCCUUUCACUUGGUGUGGAGCGGAGCAUCAAUUCCCCCAUUUACUGCUGCGAGGACAAUCAUCUAUCAUUCACUCAAGCCUCUGUCAAGGAGCUUGUUUAGCAUUUUGCCUUGUUGCAUAUUGAUGGAUCCACGGCACAUUAACAUUUCUGCAUCAGCGUGCUGGAUGCCAUCUUGUCACAGCCUUUUGACAGGCUUGACUUCCUCUCCAAA